rnacentral:rRNA from 1 species
GAUGAACGCUGGCGGCGUGCCUAAUACAUGCAAGUCGAGCGAACAGACGAGGAGCUUGCUCCUCUGACGUUAGCGGCGGACGGGUGAGUAACACGUGGAUAACCUACCUAUAAGACUGGGAUAACUUCGGGAAACCGGAGCUAAUACCGGAUAAUAUAUUGAACCGCAUGGUUCAAUAGUGAAAGACGGUUUUGCUGUCACUUAUAGAUGGAUCCGCGCCGCAUUAGCUAGUUGGUAAGGUAACGGCUUACCAAGGCAACGAUGCGUAGCCGACCUGAGAGGGUGAUCGGCCACACGGGAACUGAGACACGGUCCAGACUCCGACGGGGGGCCGCAGUCGGGAAUCUUCCGCAAGGGGCGAAAGCCUGACGGAGCAACGCCGCGUGAGUGAUGAAGGUCUUCGGAUCGUAAAACUCUGUUAUUAGUGAAGAACAAAUGUGUAAGUAACUAUGCACGUAUUGACGGUACCUAAUCAGAAAGCCACGGCUAACUACGUG